GUGUGUGAGGCGGGCCACAGACUACAUCACACAGACAAUAAAUAUCUCACGACCAAUGUGAAAUGAGAACCGAUCCUACAUCGGAAAUAAAAUCAUAAACACAUCACAAAUGAUGACAUCCACAUUAUAGACUUAUGACACCCAGAUUACGGAUGAAGAUAACAUCAAAACGCAUCCAGAAACAUCGAACAAAACGAGGCAAAGAUUACAGAUGUGAACACGGCAG
rnacentral:misc_RNA from 1 species